rnacentral:rRNA from 1 species
GUCAGCGGAGAUAACAUAUACUCCAGUUCCCAAUGAAACACAGAAGCCAAGCGAAUUUGCGCUUGGUUAGUAUCCGAAUGGGUGACCAUCUGGGUAAUCCCGUGUUCCUAGAUU